CGGUGGAUCACUCGGCUCGUGGAUCGAUGAAGGACGCAGCAAACUGCGCGUCGAAUUGUGAACUGCAGGACACAUGAACAUCGACGCUUCGAACGCUCAUUGCAGCCCACGGAUUCUGUUCCCGGGUUACGCCUGGCUGAGGGCCGGC
rnacentral:rRNA from 1 species